rnacentral:lncRNA from 1 species
AAAACCCAUCUGUGUUCGGAGAUUUUGCUCCAGAGCAAUACACCAUCUUCCGAAGAAUUCACGGAUCACGCUUUCUAAGUUAGAACGGGAAACAGGGAGUUGUUCAGAAAAUACAAAAGAAAACCAACCGCCAUAAAAUUUAGCCCACACAGACGGUGGCGUUGGUUGAAAUAGAAAGCUGCCGCCCAGGAAACCAGGGAAGGGACUGCUUUAUGAGGUGAUUACUGAGAGCCUAUCUGCCAUGAUUGAUAAAAAUCCCUUUUACUUUACAUUAUAGGAGAUCUUUUUACCGCCCAUUAUUAAAAUUAAAAAAGAAACCACCUCCCCAAGAGGGUCUCUUAUAAAAGCAGAAGUAGGCAAGGAAGGAAAUGACACUCAAUUCAUCAAUCAAUCAAAAAAAAAAAACAAGAAAACAACCAAAAGCUCACUUGGAUUCCAAGAGAAACCAGCUUUAGAUCAGAAUUCCAAAGUUCAGACUUAGAAAAUAAGUCUUCUAAAACGAG